rnacentral:lncRNA from 1 species
UUGCUUUUAUCUAUUCUAUUUUUGCUUCAUUAUUUUCCUUAUUUUAAUUUUGUUUUAUUUAUAAUAUUAGGAACAAAUGUAUAGGUUGUAAAUUUAUUCUUUCUCGCCUGAUUAUUAUGUAUCUGUCCCAUAGCCAUGUAAUAGUUUAGGAAUUUAUUUUUCUUGCUUUUAUUUUUGUAAAUAUUUAUUGCGUGGUUAGUAAUUUAGGGAGUGCAAAAAACUAACUGUAAAUAAUUGAACUUAGAAAAUUAAAUUCAAGACAAAUAUCUGAAAAAUAACACUCACACACGUAGGUCGAUCUUUGAUCGCCAUCUGUACUUCCUAGGGUAUUCCUCUUGGUUGCCUUCUUUAAAUGGUCAAGUCCCUCGAAAAUAGGGGUGUCUUAAGCAAAGUCCCUUCAAACAGAAAAAUCAUCAAGUCCCUAUAAACUUAAA